CCUACGGGAGGCAGCAGUGAGGAAUAUUGGUCAAUGGGCGAGAGCCUGAACCAGCCAAGUCGCGUGAAGGAUGAAGGAUCUAUGGUUUGUAAACUUCUUUUAUAUGGGAAUAAGGUGAGGAACGUGUUCCUUUUUGUAUGUACCAUAUGAAUAAGCAUCGGCUAACUCCGUGCCAGCAGCCGCGGUACUACGGAGGGUGCGAGCGUUAUCCGGAUUUAUUGGGUUUAAAGGGUUCGUAGGUGGUUAAUUAAGUCAGCGGUGAAAGUUUGUGGCUCAACCAUAAAAUUGCCGUUGAAACUGGUAGACUUGAGUAUAUUUGAGGUAGGCGGAAUGCGUGGUGUAGCGGUGAAAUGCAUAGAGAUCACGCAGAACUCCGAUUGCGAAGGCAGCUUACUAAACUAUGACUGACGCUGAAGCACGAAAGCGUGGGGAUCAAACAGGAUUAGAUACCCCAGUAGUC
rnacentral:rRNA from 1 species